rnacentral:lncRNA from 1 species
UAGCCUCCAUAAUAAGUAGUGACCCAGUGAGGCCGAGGAGAAACGCCAUACAAUUCUUGCAGUCGUCGAUGUAGUUGCUUAGAUCAAAAGGAUCAGGUGGGAACAUUUUCGUAUUGUCAAUGCCUAUGGGCAUUACCAUCUCGCUACAUCUCUAAUUAAAAUUAAAAAACGCACCACUCAUUAUAAUGUUGUCAUAUGUUACGAUCAAAAUUUGGUACGUGGUUAAGUUUCUAUCACAUAUGCAAAUGGAUAUAUAAUGACUUUAUUUUCUUCAUCGAUCCAAAGGGUGUGUGAUCAUAUUUAAAUCUUGUUUGACCUUCAAGUAUACCUGUUCUUGUUCUUGAAGUUAUCACUAAUGCUUGUUAUAACCAUAAUUUAAUAAUGACAAAAAUGAACCAUAAUCAUCAUUAUUUUGGAGGUUGUGUUGUCAUUUGUCAAUGUAUCACUGGCAAUUUACUCCUAAAUUAAAAAAAUGUUAGAAUAUUGUGAUGUUUUGGAAUGUAAAUUACCUGCCAUCUAAAUCCCACAGUGGUUUCAGAUUCAUUGAUUGGUGGAUUAACAUAGCAUGACUUAUUUCCUUUUGUAGCAACAGCCCCGGCAAAUAUUUUGCUAAGAAUAUCAUUAUCAGAGCCUAAAGCUUCCCCAUCAAUGCCACCACAGAGCAUGUUAACUGGAUACUUUGGUGGCUGAUUAUAUUGAGCUGCAUUCGCAUACAUUGACUCCAAGAAGUCUUCCAGCUCAUAUGAGUCUUUCAAUGGCCUAGUAAUCCAACAGAACAAGAGAGUAAACAAAAUUAAGUACAUGAAAAUUAUCAGGUGCCGACAUUGGUGUUUAAUUAGCUGCUAAACUAAGAUAUAUGUUGCUUACAGAAACUCAAUGAUAUUAUCUUGGUACAGACUGGAAUAAGGAAAAUUAUCAACCCCUAUUUUUUGUCAAAAUUAAUAUUUUUUCCGUCAUGAGUUUCAAAACCCAUCAAAAUCUUCGAACAAUAUUAAAACAAAGUAUUAUUGUUACUUUCAACAUUUUAGAGUCAUUUGCUCAUAUGCUUCUAUAAUUUUUUGUUGCUCAAUAGUAGGUUUAGAAAAUCAGGAGUAAAACAGUAUUAAAAAUAAUGAAAAAAAUUGAAGGACAACAAAAUCUGUUUAAGAGCAGGAGGUUUUGAUAAAUUUCAAAACAUGAUGAGAGAAAUGAUUAAUUUACUGAGAUUACAGCGGGGUUUGAUUAUUUUCCCCACCACAAAAGUUUUUCAUUUUUUUAUUCUUUUCCGAAAUUCAUCAGUAUCAGAAACCAAUGAGAGAUAUUUGACAAAUCCAAUGCGAAGGACACAUAAAUAUACCAUAAGAGAAACGUUGCCUACGUGUGUGUUAAUGAUUAUAAGAAACCAAAAGGAUAUACAUAAAAAGACAGAAGAACUUUGGUAUAUUACUAGCAAGUUCUGAAUUUCUUGCUGAGGAUUGAGAGACCAUCAGGCUUAGAAGCAACCUUUUCUAUCUCUGCCCAUGACUUCAUUAUGGUUUCGUAGCAUGUUUCACUUGCUUCCUGCACAAACCACCAUGCAUGUUUUUCAACAUCUGUCAAUUUGAUUAUCAGGUAACAGAAUAGCACAUCAAACUUUUCAAAGAUUUAUUACUCUAAAGACCCUGGUGACAAUAGAAUAAUAUCCAUUUUGUGGCGUGAUGUCAUCAAAAUACAGAAUUGGAGCUGAGGAGGCCAAGGCUCCGAGGGCAACAUGCGGAUAUUUUAGACGAAACCAAGGAGCGAGCACUGGGGGGGAAAAAUUCAAAAAAAACUAAUCAAUCGAAAAACGUUAAUAACGUUCAUCUCAUAUCUUUCGUCACGAGAAUCACACGAUGAUGCAUGGCUAGCCAACUUACUUCCUGCAUAUGAUCCCCCGAUGACGAUCACCGGAGAAUGGCUAGCAUUAUAUUUUUGCUUUAUAUACAAGAGAAUUUCUGCAUAGUCCGUUAUAGCUUGUGCAGAGUUGAAAUAGCCAAGAGUGCUUGCAUUUUUCAAGGCUUCUUCUCUUGACCCGAAUGGAAUUGAUUUCCCACAGUAUCUAUGCUGGAGAUAAAUAUAUUUAUUCACUAUAAGAAACAAUUAAUUCAUUAAUUAGAGCAUAUCAAAUUAAAACUAUUUGUAUUAUGAUACCUCAAUAUAUACUAGGAGAGCAUUGAAUCGAGCGGCGUUAUCAGUUAAGAAACCGAUGACGGAAAUACACCGUCUAAGGGCUCUUCAGCACCGAGAUAUGCAAUGACUGGUGCAUUCGCAUCGGCACCUGCACCGCCACCCCAGCACUUGAAAUUGAUAACGUAUCUUUGUUGGAAAGUUGAGUAGCUUUAAGGCCUGUAGUUGAAGUGAUCAAGUGUCUGGUUGUUGUAAAAUGUCUGGAAAUCUUCGGAAAUUGUUGCUGAAAGAAUUUCAGGGUUUUGUAAAAUUGUUCCUCUAGUUGGACAAAGCCUUGGAAUGUUAAACCUUGUGGCAGAAACUUGGAGUGAGGAAAUUACCGUGAAAAUGUAUAGGAGCCAUUGAAAUGAAGCAAUUGAAGAGUGCAUGGUAUUGGAACUUGAUAAAAGAAUAUUAGUGAGCUUCAAUUAAUUGGUGCUUGGAAGUUUGCUGCUAGUACAUCCUUUUAUAAAUCGGAUUCUUAAGUAGGGUUUUUUUUGGUUUGAAAUUUAAAUGGGUCUGAAUUUUUUUACGGUCUAAUUACGAAAAUUUGAUUAACAUGUUUGUUUUUCUUUUUUAAAUCUCUGAAUAUAAGUGUUAAGGAAGCUCAUGUAUGCAAAGUGAUCAGCAAAGCAGAGGAUUAUAACAGCUCCAGAUCACAGUUAUAGGUUGAUGACUUGGCUUGCCAGCUGACACUUGGUGGUUAUAUAGUUUCUUGUACACGUGAAUGUUAGUUUUAGUUUGUUAUAAUAGCUAAUAUGUAUGUUUAGUUAGUUAAGCAAAUUAGCUAUACAGCUACGCGUGUAUAUAAAGAAGAACUUUGUACAGUUUCAAUUGGUAAUUCUGAUUAAUGCAAUAAUAAACAAAUUUCUAGAAUCUUCUUAUUUCUCUCAAAGUUUUCUUAGUAUCUAAACAACUUGAUCUUUUACUUGCUAUCAGAGCUAGAAAUAAUGGCGUCUAUUAAUCUAGCUUCUUCAUCUAAUCAAAUCCAAACACCUGCUGCAAAUUCAACUACUGUUUCAUUUACUUUCAACACACCAGUGAAACUUGAUCAAUCUAACUACCUCAUAUGGAGAUCUCAAGUACUAGAUUCAAUCCGCAGUAACAGACUUGAAAAGUUUAUCGAUGAGUCAAUCAAUCCUCCUCCAUCUCACAUUGCUCAAAGAGUUGGAAAUGACCUCAGAUCUGUAAAAAAUCCAGACUUCACAACAUAAAGAUCUCAGGAUCAAGUGCUGCUUAGAUGGUUGCUCUCUUCAAUGAGUGAGGGAAUUAUCAGUUUGGUGUUCAAUCUGGAGACAUCACGUGAAGUAUGGAAAGUUGUUGAGGUACAGUUUGGCUCUCAAUCUAAAUCAAGACUUUUAUAUCUAAGGUACAUGAUGAAUUCAACUAGGAAAUACGAUAUGAAAAUAACAGAUUACUUCAUUAAGAUGAAAAAUAUAGCUGAUAAUAUGGCUGCAGCAGGGAGUGCUUUGAGUAAUGAUGAUUUAAUUCUUUAUAUAUUAUCUGGCCUAGGACCAGCUUAUAAUUAGUAACCACUUAUAUUACUGGUCAAGGAGUUGGAAAAAUGGAUGUGAAUGAAGCUUAUGCUAUGCUCUUAACUCAAGAAGUUAGGAUUGAACAGCAGUCUCAUAUGCUUGUUGGUAUGGAUGUGAAAAAUAAUUUUGAGGCUAACUUUGCUCAAAACAGAGGACCUAAGAAAGAAAAUAUGUUUAAUGGAAAAGGCUUUGGUGGUUAUGGCUACAAUACUGGUUCUGGAAACGGGUAUAAUACUGGCUUUGGAAACGAUGGUUAUUACAAAGGAAAUUUUAGUAUUGAUUCUGCUAUAGUUGGUUUUAAUACUCAAUUCAAAGGUUAUCAAUCAAGUAAUCAAAGAGGAGGAGGUGGAGGUAACUGGAAUAACAACACUGGAAUCAACAAUUUUAAUAAUGGCAAAUCACCUAUGAAUCCUAAGCCACAGUGGAAUGCAUCAAAACCUACCCGUCAAAUUUGUCUUAAGCCUGGGCAUACUGCAAACAUCUGCUGGAAACUUGAAGAUUUUAUUACUUCAGGUGCUUAUAGACCACCUCCAAAUAGAGGACCAAAAGCUUCUUAUCUAGCAAACAUGGAUGCUCCAGCUGAUACUAACUGGUACCUUGACAGUGGUGCCACACAUCAUCUCACCAAUUAUAUGAAUAAUAUGCAUGGUGCUGAACCUUUUGCAGGUAAUUCUAAACUUGUUGUUGGAAAUGGUGUUGGAAAUGGUGUUGGUUUAUGCAUAACACAUAUAAGUUCUGUUGUUCUAAGAAUGCAAAAUACUUUCAAUCAUUUUGAACUGAAGCUAAACAAUAUCCUACUUGUACCUAAAAUAACCAAAAACCUGAUAAGCAUAUCUAAAUUAACCAGUGAUAAUGACGUUGUGGUGGAGUUUACUGAUAAUUUUUGUUAUUACUGAUAAUUUUUGUUAUGUGAAGGACAAUGUGGAGAAUUUAAUCAUGCUGCAGGGCAAAGUUGAAAAGGGUUUAUAUAGAUUGCUAUUUGUUUCAUCAGCUAAGCCAUCUAUUUCUCAAUUAAAUCAAAGUCUCAUUACUCAUAUUCAGUCAGUUGUUUCAAUUACUUAACCUAUCUCAAUGUUUUCUACUGUUGUUUCAGAAUUUCAGAAUAAAACAACUUCAUGUUUGCAUACAGAAGCAAAGUCUUGUCAAAAUCCAAAUUGUAUGUUGAACACUAUGGUCUUACAUCAAAGGUUAGGUCAUCCUAAUGCUAAGGUGCUGAGUCAUGUAAUCAACUCUUGUUCUUCUUUUAAAUAUGCCAAUGGCAAUAAAAAAAUUGAUUCUUGUGAUGCAUGUAAGAUGAGAAAAAUGCAUAAACUUCAUUUUUUAGUGACUGAGACCAAAACCAAAAAUGCUUUAGAACUCUUACAUACUGAUAUAUGGGGACUUGCUCAUACACUUUCUAUACAAGGAUAUAGAUACUAUGUAAGUUUUGUUGAUGAUUUUACAAGGUUCACCUGGAUUUUCCCUUUAAAAACCAAAGCAGAGACCUUGCAAGUAUUUAAAGUUUUCAAAGCUCACGUAGAGAAACAAUUAAACAAGUCUAUAAAAUGCCUUCAAUCAGAUUGGGGUGGUGAAUACAGAUCUUUUGUCCAUUUUCUUCAUGAAGAAUGAAUUCAGUUUAAACAUUCAUGUCCCUAUACACAUAAUCAAAAUGGCCUUGUAGAAAGAAAGCAUAGACACAUUACUGAGUUGGGUAUGACUUUGCUUGCACAAGCUAAAUUACUUGUCAAAUUCUGGUGGGAUUAUUUUCAUACAGCUACUCACAUCAUAAACAGAUUACCAACUCUUGUUCUCUCCAUGAAAACUCCUUAUGAAUAUCUCUUUCAUUUGAAACCAGAAUAUCUUUUUCUCAAAAUAUUUGGUUGUGUUUGUUUCUCGUUCUUAAGAGAUUACAAUCAUCAUAAGUUUCACUUUCAUACUUCUAAAUGUGUAUUCUUAGGAUACAGUCCAUUAUACCAGGGUUACAAAUGUCUUCACCCAUCUGGAAAAAUUUAUAUAGCUAGCCAUGUUCUCUUUGAUGAAACUUUAUUUCCAUAUUCCACUGAUUAUGAUUUUUUUAAGUCCAUGCUAUCUAAGUUCUCUUAUUUUCAGUAUAAUUCUUUACAAUUCUACAAUAUUUCAUUUCCAAAUAGCAAUCUAAAACCUUUUGAAGCUAUUGCAGCAGAUAUUGAUUCUUACACUUUCAGUUCUAAUCAUAAUAUCACACAUAUUCCUUCUAUGAUCUCACACGUACAUUUUACUCAUAUUAUCUCACUGUUAAUACUAUAUCUUCAUCCAUCAUCCACACAACAUCUCCAGAAACAUCUGUAAAUACUACAACCCCACCUGUAACAUAUCAAAAUUUCUCAGAUACACUUAUAACACAUCAAACACCUCCAGAUACAUCACCUUCUAUAUUACAUCUCUUACCCUCAAAACCUAUCAUUUCCACACAUCCUAUGAUUACCAGAGCCAAAGCUAGUAUAUUCAAACCUAAGGCAUUCAUGACAACACAUAACAGCUUGGAACCUUCUAGUGUUGAUGAAGUUUUAUCUGAUCCUAAGUGGAAAGCUGCAAUGCAACUAGAAUAUGGUGCACUUAUCAGAAACAAAACCUGGAAUCUGGUUCCAAUGGAUCCAAAUUAUAAACUAGUGGGCUGCAAAUGGGUGUUCAGAACAAAGUAUAACAUUGAUGGAUCAAUCUCUAAAUAUAAAGUGUUGAGUGUUAGAAAAUGUAUAUUUAUAAAGGAGAAAAUCGUCAUUUUACACUUUAAGUUUUACUAACACCCUUACUUUUAUGUAUUAACCUUCUUGUAAUUUAAUUACGUGUGUUUUAUUUUAAUUAAGUAUUUUAUGUAUUAUAGGGGCAUCAUAGUCAUUUCACAAUGAACGAGAGGUCAGACGGCAAAAUGGACAUUACUUUUGAACUCAGGACGGUCGAAAACCUUAGGAGGAGCAUAAAAGAAAAAAUGAAAUUGUUCACAUGUACGGUACUGUCUACGCUACUGUUCACAUAGAAUGAUUGAUGACGUGGCAUUGACCGAUGAUGUGGCAUUGACUGAUGAGGUGUCACGAUCCUGUUGGACUAAAAUUCUUAUGCACUGUUGAUCGAUGAUGUGGCAGCAUAUCAGUGGACCAAAAAUCUCGCGUACGGUACAUGCAUUAUACAGGAUUAUUUUCAACCAAACCACGUCACUGUUCAACCCGGGUCAACCCGUGUUACUGUUUAAACCGCGUGGUCAAAUCUCUUACUGUUGACUGAUGACGUGGCGCAAUCCUGGGCGUCCAAAAUAUUUUUGAUCCGAUGGCCAUAAUUUACUUAAUGUAUCUAUAAAAAGGGGGCUUUCCCCCCCUAAUUUGAUAUCUCUGAAUCUAUUUUUUGGAUCCAUUUUCUGUAAUUCCUUCUCCAUCUUGUAUUUUCUACGUAUUUUAAUAAAUUUUCAUUUUGUCCCUAGUUCAAUUAUGAGUAGCUAAUUUUCUUUCAAGCUUGGGUUAAAGGUGAAGUCUCAACAUGUGUCAUGGGCUUUAUUUGGUAAAUUUAUUUUCUUUUCCCCUCUAAUUUUUGUGGAUGAUUUGACUUUUCGUUGACAAAUAAUAAUAAUCUUGUCUAGAUACCACCUUGGUUACACCGGCUCCCUAGUACAAGGUUAUUAUUAUUUGGCACGAUAAGCCCUUAACACCAUAUUGAUUAGAGCGUGGUUCAUGAGGUGUGAAUUCCCCCCUCAUGAUUUAAUUGGUAUUAAUAAGGAAUAUUUAGCCCAUGGUGCAUGUUGAUACGGAUCCAGAUACCAAAGUACGUCAUUUCAAUAGAUUUCUAUUCAAUUUAUUCCCGCCAUUUAAAUUCUAAUUUUAGGAUAAUCUAGGUCACUUUUACCACAAAUCCAACCAUCCUCAUACAAAAUUAAUUCUACAUAUAAUUAAAAUCAACCUUCUCGUGGGAUCGACACUCGUCACCAUUAAUCUAUUCUACAAUAGAUUCGUGCACUUGCGAGUUCAAUAAAAUUUGCACAACAUAAAGCUUGUUUGGUUACUAAAGGGUUCCAUCAGACAGCUGGGGUUGAUUAUUCUGAAACUUACAGUCUUGUAGUGAAGUCUUCUACUGUCAGAAUUAUACUUAGUUUGGCAGUUACGCAAGGUUGGAAUGUCAAGCAAAUUGAUGUUAAUAAUACAUUCCUUAAUGGGGAUCUCAUAGAGGAUGUAUACAUGCAACAACCAGAAGGUUUUGGUUCAGAGGGAGGAUACAUCUGUAAGCUGAAUAAAGCUCUUUAUGGUUUGAAACCGCCUCCAAGAGCCUGGUAUGAAAAGCUUAAGGGCUGUCUUACAGAUUGGAACUUCAUAAAUUCUAAAGCUGAUACUUCAUUGUUUAUCAGGCAUGACACCAAAGGUAUAAUCCUUGUACUGAUCUAUAUUGAUGAUAUUUUAGUCACUGGUCCAGAUUCAGCUUUGUUGGUAUCAUUCAUCACAAGGCUUAGCAAAGUAUUUGCCUUAAAAGACUUAGGUCUGGUAUCAUAUUUUCUUGGUAUAAAAGUAUGUUAUACAAAUCAUGGAAUGCAUCUUUCCCAGACUAAAUAUAUCAAGGAUUUAUUAACCAAAGCCUCUAUACAGAGCUGUAAAUGAACUGAAACUCCUUUCAACAUAGGUUAUAAAUUAGAAAGAACAGCAAAAGGCUUAUUGGGUGCAGAGUUCGAAAAUCCAACUAUUUAUAGAAGUAUAGUUAGAGGACUGCAAUACUUAGUUCUAACUAUACCAUCUAUUGCCUAUUCAGUGCAUAAACUCAGUCAGUACCUUAGUGCUCCAACUCUCUAACAUUGGUUAGCUUGCAAAAAGGUACUUAGAUAUCUUCAACUAACUAUAACCUAUGGUCUCUGUAUUCAGCAAGAAGGAACCUUGGAAACUAUCACUACAAGAAAUAUUGUCUUUUACAACUAUUCAAAAAUGCUGCGAAAACACAAUUACAACAUUUAUAAAAAUGUCCUAACGAAGGAUGCAAUAAAUAACAUCAAACUUUUGUAGCCUUUUUCAACUGCAGUAAGAAACGCUGCAUAAAAUAAUAGUAACGACAUUAUUAAAAUGUUGUUUUUAGGCCAUUUGCUAUAUGAGUAAGUUGCUGCAAAAAUUAGUAAAUAAAUAUGAAAAUCUAUUGCAAUUCAAUUUAUAAAAUUGAUAACAGUUCAAUCAACUGAAAAUAAUCUCCAUAAAAUCAUUUGAAAUUGGCAUCCAUACAGCAAAAAUUUAGUUGAAGAUUGUUAAAUCUCUACACUAAAUACAAUACUCAAAGUGUAAAUUGAAACUCUUGCCCAGGUUAAUUUUUUUUUCCCCUCACUUGUAAGAUUCAAGUAUAUGUAUGAAGAUAUAAUAAAAAAAGAACAAUUCACGUAAGCAAAAUACUUGGUUUACAUAUUAUAUAAUUCAAAGCUAAUAGUAAAAUAUUAACUUACUAGUCGAAUGUCUCGAGAAUUUUUCAUCAUGCUAUCUAUGUCAAUUCGAUCCUAAAAAUAUAUGAAAAAACUAUUAUUAGUCAAGCAUUGCAUCUAAAUAUAUUGAACAUAAAUUUUCUUUAUCAUAUUUAUUACCGCUUGUUUGCUAGUGUUCUUAAUGAAUGCAGCCUUGAGUUCCUCGAAUAGUUUUUUGAGAUCUUUUAGUUCCAUUUUAAUUUGUGUAGUAUGAGACUUGCUAAGUGUUUCUAAAUUCAUCAACGUUGGUGUAACUCCAGAUUCAGCUCCUCGUACACGCCCAUUACGUUCUUUUCCCAGCACAUGGGUCAAAGCAUCACCGUGAAUUGUUGAGGCAUCUUCACUCACUUGUGUCCUAUGAUAUUCAUUAAUUUUUUUCUGAAUUCAUGGAGAAUUUUGAUUGUUAAUAGCAAAAAAAUAGAAUAAAGAACUAAAAAAUCAUAAAUGAAGUUAUCACAAGUUUUUCAGCAACAUCCUCAUUAAUUACAGUCCCAUCUUUCUUAGUAUGUGCAUGAAUCCACACAUCAACUUUAGUUAUCAGUGAGUUUGGUCUCUCUUGCAUCUAAAAUAUGUAGUGGAGAACAUUUGAUUACUCAUCUAAUUUUUUGUUUAAUAAUAAAUAAACUUAAUGAUAUGAUUUUUCUAACCAUUCAAUGUCUUAAACGAGUCAUCCUUUUUCGACUUGUCCUAUGGAUGUUAGUUUGUUUUGAUCUCAUUUUUUUUAAACCUCUUACUCUUCAACUAUAGAAAGAAUAUAUGUUAGAUUAAUGAAACUAUUCUUGUACAUUAAUAAGAAACUAUACUUGUACAUUAAUUGGGAAAGAAAAUAACUUUAAACUCAGUAGAAACUCUCUCUUUAAUAAACAUUUGCCAUUGUUGCUCAGAUUUUAUGUUCCUUGGUUUAAGCCUUUCAAUGCCUCAAGCUUUCUUAUUACAUCAUUGCUUUUAACCAAUGCUCUGAUUUUAUGUGUUAAAACUGAUUUGUAAUUCCUCCAGCUCUUACCCAUUGCACUCAUUAUAUAUCUUCUAUUACUUCCAUCAACAUUAAAUUGUUGCUGCAUUUAAAGGGAAAAAUAACAUUAAUAAUUAAAUUUGAUGAGUUAAAUAAUAUUUACCACAAAGUAUGAUGCUACCUUAACAUAAGUCCAAAGUCUUUCUCUUAACUCUGAUUUCAUUCUAUGCCAACUAUCCAAGGUCAACGGUACCAUUUGUCGCACUAAACAACCAAUAAAAGAAGAUAACCUAUUUGAAUUUCUACCAACAGGUUGUCCAUAUUCAUUAAAAAUGACCUCAAUACGUUUUCCAUCAAUAGGUGCUACAAAAUCUAUCUUUGCAGGGCCCCUUAUCUUCUUUUGCAUACGAGAGGAGAAGGCAGUUGUAGCAUCAGAAUCAGAUUCAAAGUUAGAAUAUGUAUCUGAUUCUGAAAAUUCUAUGUCUUUUAGGUAUUCAAGCUCAUCUCUAAGAGCUGUAGUUAUAGCUCUACGUUCUUUCUUUGUCCUUUUUACUGCUUGUUUAGAUGACUGCUAACACACAUAUAUAAACAUGAGAAUAAUUCAAGAUAUUAAAAUCUAUUAUUAGCAAUUUUUCAAUUUGUUAACUUACUUCACCAUCAUCUUUUGACAUUUCCAAAACACAAUACAGCUGAAAACAAUAGAAAUGAUUCUAUCAAAGACUUCUUAGGUGCUGAUAACUUUAUCCAAUAAUAAGAACAAGACACUGAUGAUAGAAGUGAAUCUAUAUUUUAAUUAAAAAAUGCAUAGAUUAUACUUACUUUAAGAAGUACAAUUGUGCUCUAACUGAAGAUGAACCAAAAUCUGCAAAAAACAGCAAUAAUAAAGAUUAAACUUUUAACUGAAAUACAAACAAAACUAAAAUAAAUAAUACUAACCUAACAUGGCAAUUGCAUCAUCAGUAAUGAAUAAUAAGCCAUACCCUAAAAUCAUGAAAACACAUAAUAUUGUUAACCAAUUAUGAUAUCGUCACAAUCUUUUCUUGCAUAAUGCUCAUAUUCAUUAGAGUCAUAAGGCAACUUAAGUACAGCUCUAUCUAAUGUUGAAUAGGUAGUAUAAUCACUCUUAUGACAUAUCUCUAUGUUAAAACAACAUCUUGGAGGUGCUUUUAACACAAUAUACCAUGAUGAUGUAUCAUUUUCCCUAGAGUAGAAAACUUGCUUUGCUUGUGAUGCCAAAAUAAAUGGAUCUUUUUCAAAUUAACUCUGUCUUUCACAAAGAUUUACUAAUAUAAACCCAUCUUCAUCAAUUCUGACACCAUUUGGAAUGUUAGCCCAAUGACACUUGAAUAAAGGAACUCAAAAAGUGUAGUAGUCCAAUAAAAUUAUGUCCUUUAUAAUUCCAUAAUAAGGUAUCUUUCCCACAAUUUGGUUCGUGUCUGUAAUACUAGAUCUACAUAUUGUUUCUGCUUCUAUGGAGACACCAUUAUUUUGUGUCGACUUCUCACUAUCUUUUGUAUGAAAUCGAAGUCCAUUGAUGAUGUAGCCUGAGUAGGACAUUGCGUAGCUUUUAGGUCCAUAAGUAAGCCAUUUCAAUGUCUCACUAAUUCCACGAUCGUUGAUCUUGAUCUGUUCCAAUCACAACAUUAGUUAACAUAUAAAAUAUUCAUGUAUCUUAUAAGCAUGUGAGAUGAUAUAUCGUAGUACCUUAUCUUGCAGUCAUGCAUUAAAUGUCUCUUGGUGCCUUUUUUAUAGCAAGCUUUUAUUCUUUGGUUUACUAAGACGUGUAUCUAAAGAUUUCAACUUUAUUUUAUGCAUUCUUAUAUCAAAAAAGGAAAAAGGAAUUAGCAGUAAAAAUAAAUAAAAAAUUCUAAUAUCUAAAGUCUUGAUGUUAUUGUCCUUACUCUAUAUAUGGUUCCACUUUAGCACUAUUGUAUAGCACAUAACGGUGAGCAAUUUGCAAUUCUUCUUCAGAUAGAUCAAUAAGUUCUCCAGUAGUGAAUGCGUGACCUCCCAAAAUCGUUUCAUCACCCAUAUCUUCAUUACGAUUAUGUCGAGAACCUAAUGCACCAACUUGUUUCAUGUAUCCACUACAAAAUCUCAUGCAUUAUUCAGCUAGAUAACAUUUUGCUAUACAUCCUUCUGCUCGUGCUUUAUUCCUAACAUAUCCUUUUAAUUUUUUCAUAAAUCUACAUAAUUUAUUUUUUAAAAGAAAAAUAUUAGUUGUACUGAAAAACAAAUUAUAAUAAAAAUCAUGAUAUUAAUGCUAACUUAACACACCUUUCAAAAGGAUAUAUCCAACGAUAUUGUACUGGACCACAUUGUUGAGCUUCACGUCCUAGAUGAAUUGUCAAGUGGAUCAUGAUGUCAAAAAAUAAUGGAGGAAAAAAUCUUUCCAGCAUACACAAAGUUUCAGCAAUGUCGUUUUCCAUUUCUUCUAACUUAGCCCCAUCGAUAACUCUUCGACAUAAUUCAUUGAAAUAUGCUGAAAGUUGAAAAAUCGCAAAUCUUGGUCCUUUAAGUAAAGACCUCUUAAUGCCACUGUCAACAAUUGUUGCAUCAAAAUAUGAUAGUUAUGGCAUUUAAGACCCUUAAUUUUACACUCAUCGAUCAAAAUGCAGUUUCCAAUGGUGGAGCCAUAUCUUUCUGGUAACUUUAUAUCAAAUAACCUCUUACAAAAGGUUUUCUUCUCCUCUUUAAAUAAUAUGUGCGCUGCAGCCGGUAAGCACAAUCUUUUUCCUUUUCUCUUUGGAUACAAAUGAUGCCUAAUUUUCAAAAAUUUCAAAUCUUUACGUGAUUUCAACCUAUCUUUUGACUUUCUUUUUAUAUUUAGCAAUGUGCUGAGAAGGCUAUCACAGACAUUCUUCUCAAUAUGCAUUACAUCCAAGUUAUAACGCAAGACUAAUCCCUGAAAAUAAUGAAGAUGACCACAUUAUAUGCCUAUUUGUUCAUUAUCUAAAUUUUUAUUAAUCAUAAAAUAAAAAUAAAAUAUUAUUUAAAAAUAACAAACCUCUCAAUAUGGCAAGUCAAAAAAUAUCGACUUCUUUUUCCACAUUUGCACUGUCUUUAACCUUCUCUUCCUUUUUUUUUAUUUUCCCCCAAUCAUUUACAAAAUCUUUUAUUUCAUUUAAAAUGUCUUGACAAGUGAGUUGUUUAGGCUUUUCUCUAAUUUCUUCAUUUCCAUCAACCACUUCUUUUUUAAUCGAAAUUCAUGCUUGGGAUUGAGAAACCUUCUAUGUCGCAUGUAAGUAAACUUUUUACUAUGUACUAGCCAUUUCGCCCAUGUAUCAUAACCACAUAUAGGACAUGCUACUUUCCCUUUUGUGGUACAUCCAGCUAGGUUUCCAUAUGCUGGAAAAUCAUUUAUUGUCCACAUUAAAAUAGCUUUUAGAUUAAACAUGGACUUAGAGCAUGCAUCAUAUACAUUUACACUAUUCCUUUAUAACUCAUUCAAGUCCUCAAUAAGUGGCUCUAAAAAUAUAUCUAUAUCAUUCCCUGGUUGUUUAGGUCCAGGAAUUAACAAAGUCAACAUUAAGUUCUCUUGCAACAUAUAUAGCCAUGGGGGAAGAUUAUAAUUCACCAAAAUUACUGGCCAACAACUAUAUUUCGAGCUAAGGUUACGAAAAGGAUUAAACCCAUCAGUUGCAAGUCUGAGUCUAAGGUUUCGUGCAUCUCAAGCAAAUUAUGUCCAUUUUUUGUCAAUUGUACUCCAUGUUGGUGAAUCAACAGAAUGCCUCAUUUUUCCAUCUUGACUUUCAUGACUAGUAUACCAGGUUAAUUGCUCAGUCAUUUCAAGUGAUUUUAACAUUCUUCUAAACCUUGGUAUAAUUGGAAAGUACUGUAAAACUUUCAUAGGAACUCCUUUUUUUAAUUUUUUUAGUCCGCUAAUUAAUUUUCCAUCUUGAGGAAUCACAUUUUGGACAGUUGUCCAGAUGCUCAUUCUCUUUUCUAAAUAAGCAACAAUCAUUUUUACAUGCAUCUAUUUUCUCAUACCCAAGGUCAAAGGCCUUUAACAACUUUUUGGUUGAGUAUAUAAAGUCAGGUAGUGUAUUAUUUGCAGGUAGCAUACCUCUAAGGAUUUGAAGUAAAUCACUAAAACUUUUAUCCAAUAAACCAUGCACAGAUUUAUGUUUGUACAAAAGUACAGUUGUUGAUAACCUUGUAGAUUCUGUACACCUUGGAUAUAAUGGAGAUUCAACAUUUUCCAAUUCUUGGAAAAUUACUUCUUCUAUUUUUUUAGGAGAUUCUCCUUCAGUAUCACUAACCUGAUCAUAGACAUCUCUAUACAUCCUAUAUGUAUCUGACACUUGAGCAUCUUCAUUGUGUACAUGCAUAUUGUGAUUUUCUCCAUGAAAACCCCAAGUAUCAUAUGCAGGAUUCAUUCCUGUUAUAACUAAGUGCUCAUAAACUAUAUCAACAUGCUGAUAACGAAGGUUUCGACAUUUUUCACAAGGACAUAUGAUAUAAUCAAUAUUCCUAGCACUUUCUUUAGCCUUGUUGACAAAUGAUUUAGCCCCAUUUCUAUAUUCCUUAGAAAAUCUACAAACAAAUAUCAUAUUUUAUCCCAAGAAAUUAACUAAUAGAUUUAAUUAAAUUUAGGAAAAUUAACUAACAAAUAUCAUAUUUUAUCCCAAGAAAAUUAACUGACGGAUUUAAUUAAAUUUAGAAAAAUGUUAUGGAAAAACCUUGAAAGAGACAACCAUGAUUUAUCCAUGAAGAGCCUUUUUUCGCUACUGUCUAUUGUUAAUAUGCAUUUGAUAAUUACAAAAAUAAUAAGGACUAGGCUAUAAAGAACAAUAAAAAAAAUUAUGUAAAACCAGCCCUCAGCAUGACUUUAAAUGCAUUUUCACGACUGUUCUAUUUCGAUUGUAUAAUGAAAUGGCCAACCUUUUUUGUGUUGUCUUAAUCUUAGUUCUGGUCUUAGUUAUGUUGGCAAGAGUUGUCUUAAUCUUAGUUUUGGUCUCAUAAUGUGAUCCAACAAAAUGGAUCUUGUAUCUAUAAUUGCAGUGGUUAAGAUAUUUUAAUGGUUACUCUGUUAAGGGGGGCAAACAACAAACCACCACAACAAUAAAAGCGACUUGCCUUGAUUGCACCAACCCUUUGCUUACAAACUGAACUAUGUGUCAAAGAAUGUUAUAAUGACUCUUUAGAACCCACACAAAAUUUUCUAGAUCCUACGUGAAGGAUAUGAUAGGCCCUAAUUAGUCUCCUUUAUUAGAUUUGGAAAUAGACUGUUAGAAAUCGAAAACAAAAUUAUAAAAAUGAACAAUGACAAAAGAUGAAAGAACAGAGUUUGGGCCUGUGAAGGUGCCUUACACCUUGCUCUAUCCUAAGACCUCAGAACGCUCUAGAGAAGGUGGGCUGACCGGAAAGGAAAUUCCCAACAUAUUAGUUAGUUAUCCUAAGACCAGCCAAGACCCCAACAUAAACAAUCGAAUGAUUCAUUAGUUAGUCGUAUUAAACAUAAAUGGUGGCAUUAGAUUAGUUACUACAGCAACAUUUAUAGGCCUCAUUAAAAGAUAUUUCAACAAUUAUAUGCAUAAUUCAUUGUGCAAACUUCAGCAAACAAGAAGCUGAAGGUGAAAAAAGCAAUAGAGGUGUAGAUAAAGAGAUAUAUAUGAAGAAGAACAGCAGGGUGGUUGCUGGUGAAACUCAUGAUCCUGCAACAUAUAUAUCAUAGCCUAAAGAAUAUAUAUACAUAUAUAUAUAAUAAUAAUAAUAAAAGUUUGCAGAGGAAUUUGAUUCAACAACAUUCAAUAUUAUAAGUUUUUUCUUAAGCUCAAAUUCACCAAAUACAGAGCACACUUUAAAAUGAACUAAGUAUAAGAAUUAAUCAACAAUAACAAUUGAAGUGUCAGAUCAAAAGUUUCAAAUCUCAACAUAGUCUAUUUAAUCAAAGAUCUCAAAAAAAAAAAAAAAGAACAUAGUAAUUUAACCAAAUUAAAACAAUUAAACAACUAGAACAAUCUCAUUGAAAUCAAAUAAAUUCAAAUAUGAAAAUAGAGAUUAAGAAAUUACCAGAAUAGGAAGCUAAAGACCAUUUUUGCUUUGGUAAAAUUAAAGCCCAAGCUGAAAUAAAUUGAAAUCUUAAGAAAUUGAGAAAAAAAAUCUUAAAAGAUUAAGAAAUUAACAUAUGCAGCUAAGAUAAUGAGAGAAGACUUACAAGAAAUUUCAAAUAAUAACAAAGUGAAUUUUAGUACUGUGUGUUUUCAUGAAAUUGAGAAACGAAUUAAACUAAAUCGAAAAUAAGACUAAAUAGAAAAUGAGACAAAAAAUUGUGGUGAGUGCUCGUUUUGGAUUUAUGUGAGCUUUUGGCGUGGUGAGUUGGGUUUUUUGUUUGAGUUUAAAAAAUUAUAAUAAUAAGCUUUUGGCAUGGGUUUUGUAAUAAGUAAAAUAUAUAGAAUGGAAUAAUGGAGGGUGCAUGCAGUUUAGCGUGGGCCAAUUAGUAAUAAAUAGCUUCUUUUGUCUCAGCUUUGUUUAAUUUUUUAAACGUGUUUCUAACUUUAACGCCACAGUCAAUCAAAACUUAAGAUUUUUUCAUAGCUUUUUUUAAAUAAAACUUGUCUAUAUUACUUGUUACAACAUUUCUUCAAAGAAUGCUCUAUAUAUAGGGUUAACAGGAUACUCAGAUGCUGAUUUGGCUUGUGAUAUUGAUGACAGAAAAUCCAUUAGAGCUUAUUGUAUUUUUCUUGGUAAUAAUCUGGUUUCCUGGUCCUCGAAAAAGCAAGCCAUUGUAGCAAAGUCAAGUACUGAGAGUGAAUACAGGGCUCUGUCAGCAGCAAGUUCAAAAAUCACUUGGUUGCAAUCUUUGUUCUCAUAACUAAACAUCAUCAAAUUGCCAACUCCUGUUCUUUGGUGUGACAAUCAGAGUGUAGGUGAUCUAGCUAAGAAUCCAGUCUUUCAUUCAAAAUCUAAACAUAUAGAGUUGGAUGUUCAUUACAUGAGAGAUAAGGUUCUGAAUAAAGAGUUAGAAGUGAGAUAUAUUCCCACAGAUGAGCAAGUAGCAAAUGUUCUCACUAAGCCCUUAUCAUUUCCAAAAUUUAGUUACUUCCAUUCCAAGCUCAAUGUAGUCAGCAGACCCUUGAGCUUGAGGGGGGAUGUUAAGGAAUCUCAUGUAUGCAGAGUGAUCAGGAAAUCAGAGGAUUAUAACAGCUCUAGAUCACAGUUACAGGUUGAUGACUUGGCUUGCCAUGCUAGCACCUGGUGGUUAUAUAGUUUCUUGUACACGUGAAUGUUAGUUUUAGUUUGUUAUAAUAGCUAAUAUAUAUGUUUAGUUAGUUAAGCAAAUUAGCUAUACAGCUACGUGUGAAUAUAAAGAAGAACUUUGUACAUUUCAAUUGGUAAUUCUGAUUAAUGCAAUAAUAAACAAAUUUCCAGAAUAUUCUUAUUUUCUCUCAAAGUUUUCUUAGUAUCCAAACAACUUGAUCUUUUACUAUAAGUGGCAUCUUAUUUGUUUUCACAAUAAAAAAAAUCUUAAACUUGAUUAUUUGACAUUUAUGUCCUUGUAAAUUAAAAAAAAAAGAUUAGAUUUUAUAGUUUAUGAAAUAAGUUAUUUUAUAGAGAUAUUUUUGGAAUCUAAUAUUUGCUUGUCAUUCAUACCUUUUUCCAUUCAGAUAAAAGUCACAAAAAAAUUAGUUUUUUUAUUCAAAUGUAAGUGUGUGAAAAUCAUACAUAAGUUUCAAAAAACAAACAAGCAUAUUUUAGAAAACGUAUGAAAUUAAUAAAAAUUCAGGCUUCAAACAUUAACAAAUAACCUUUUAAUGUCAUUUAUUUUGGAAAGAUUUUGUUAAAUUUGUUAAUAAUUAUUGCUAUUGUGAACUACUGACAUACACUAUAGCUGAUUUUACCAACUUAGACUAAAUAUAAGAUUAAUUUGUAUGCUAUUAUUUUUUUGAGAUAGAGAAAAGACAACAAAAGCAGCAACAAGUGGUUCCUUUCACUCCUUAUCUUCUUAAUUGACAUGUUACAAAUAUUUGGUCAAACUUAUGAGUUAAGCAUAUGGAUGCAGCACACGGAAGUUUGUUCUAGAGAUUUCAAUUUAAUGUUGAGCUAAACUUUUUAUUAAUGUUUUUAAAAAUACAAUUAGUAGUUAUUGAGAUAGAAUAUAAAACUAAUUAAAUUUUAAGCGUAAUCUGUUAUACAUAUACGCGUGAUAAAAGAUUAUGAAGAGUUGUCCAUAAAUUAAUUUAACACUGGAUCUGAGUCCUUAUUUUAAAUCAACUUAUUUUACAUUUUUAUCCUUCACUAGUACAUUACACGUUGUUAUUUGUGUUUUUUUAAUGAGAAGUCGUGGUAAACGAAAAAAUAAGUCAAGCUUUUUUUUUUUUUUUCUCCUAAGUCAAGCUUUUUCUAAGUCGUAUGAACAAAUCACAUUCAUAAAGACCGGUACUUUGGAAGUUAGCAACUGUACACUUCGUAGAAGAAACAAUAUUUGACUUUUCUUUCUGCUUUUAUACAAUUUGAUCCAAGAAUUCCAAUUCAAAUGAGAUAAAUAUGAGAUGCGAAAAAGUUACAGAAAUGUCUAGAAUUACAAGUUAAAUGACAGAAGCAAAUUAAUGAGUUCAUACAUUGAUGCCCCACAAUCCUCAUUAGUCAUUCCUCGGUGGCCGGCUAGCCUUCCAGAUUAUACUUCUCUUAAGACAUGUGUUGAUCUUUGCAAAAAUUUUCAAAAUUAACAAUGAACUUAAAUCUUUUAUAUAUUAUUUCCUUUUAGUCUUUCCUUUUGUUAUGAGUACAGUUUCUGUUAUUGGACCGCUUUAAGAUCAACAUAGUACUUAGAUAUCCAUCCUUCAAUGAUCUCUACUUCAGCCUUGCGCCGCAUGACCAACCAAUCUGGAUCACUGUCUUGAUUUGCUCUAAGAAUAUCCAGGCAGUGAGAACCUGCAAAUUAUAUAAUGAUUUUGUAUCAGUAACAAAUCGAUAUAUAUUUAUGUGCUUAAUUUUGAAUAUAUGUGUAAAUAUUCUUUCAGAUAUGCGUCACCUACAAUUGACCGUGUGAAUGGCAACCACGCUUUCUGAUAUGUCCUCCAAUACCCUACGAUAUAUAUAACAUGCUUUAUUAUUAGCCAUAAUUUAUAUAUACACAUAUAUAAUUACGGUAAGUUUGUUUUGUCCUUAUAUCAAACUUCUCAAAAGCCAAGAAAUGAUAUUGUUUAUGACAGAGGAAUAUCUUUUAUUAGUAAUGUUCAUGGGUUUGAUUCUGAUUGGGCUUUGUCUUUGUUUUCUCAAAUUUUCUUCCUCAUAUUUAUGUUUAUGCAUAUAUUCUCUCCAUGACUGAUGACACUUUCUUCUGUCUGGUUGCCAGGGAGAAGCCACCAGUGCUCAGCUGAUUGGUCAAGCCAUUGCCAAAAACCCAGCAUUUAUUACACUGAGGAAGAUUGAAGCAGCUAGAGAAAUUGCUCAGACUAUCUCGAAGUCCUCCAACAAGGUUUACUUGAAUGCAGAUGAACUGUUGCUGAACCUUCAGGAAAUGAAGUUGGAUAACAGCGAGUGAGAACAGCCAGUCAUGUAGCUAGGGUUGGAUAUUACAUGAGGCUAAACUUGUUCUAAUUCGAAUUUUGAGAAAAUAUUUACAGAUACGUAAGUGUUUAGUUUUUCUUUUUGUUGAAUUUUAAUAAAGUAAUAGUUUCAUUGAAUUCUAAAUUAAAAUAAAUUUUAUAAUCUUCAUUUUUGUUUUAUACUUUUAUUCGCAAUGUUCAAUUGUGGACUGUGGUUGUGGGGUUUAUCCUUGAACACUGUGCCGUCUAUAUAUCUAUAUAAAAUUUUCAUCUAAUGCUACUGGAGUUUUACAGGACGGUUCUAACUUAGAUUGAAAAACAAAAACAAAACAAAGGGAUCGGUUCAUUGCAUUUGUCAGAAAAUUAAGGAUAAUUGUACAAAUGAUAACCGGGAUCCGAUGGUCCGUCAUGCGUGAUUUACAAUUUACACACCGUAUAUAUUCUCAGCCAUGAACUCCAAUUCCACUUCACUGUAGCUUGAAUUUCCGCAAUCCCAUUGUUUCUUUUAACAACACAAGGGAUCUAUUUGUUGAUAGCUUUAAGAUCAGCAUAGUACUUGGCUAUCCAUCCCUCAAUUAUCUCCACUUCAGUGUUGCGUUGCUGAACCAACCAAUCCGGAUCACUGGUUUUGCUUGAUUUAACAAUAUCCAAGCAGUGAGAACCUGCAAAAAUAAAUGAUCAAGAGUUAAUUACAUUCUAAUUUCAGUAGCAUGUUUCAAUAUUGGAUAAAAACUAUUUGUAUAUGUGGUGAUGUAGCAUCUCUUAUAGAUAUUAAAUUAUAAGCACUUCACUUUAACGAUAAAUAACAAAAUCAAUCAUCAUUGCUUAACAAAUAAUAGAUAAUGAUUGGUGAUAUGACAAAUAAGAUAUGAACUAUAUACCUCAACUAUGAAAGUAUAGUAUUAAUCGCUAAGAGCUUACCGUUGACGGUAGGAAGCGCGAUAAUACUAUCUGAUAUGUUUUUCAACACCCUACAGUAUGAGAUUGCACUUGUCAGAGACAAUACAUAUAUAUACACACAUAGAUACAUAUAACAUUGAAAAAAGUUUCAUAUUAUGUGAGCUAUUUAUUUAUUUCUUUGAUUACCCGCCGGCACUGUAAGGAUCUCUGAGUCCAUUGGAGAAAAUAAUGUUGCCAGUAAAUCUUUGUAGAGUCGGUUUUAUAUCCUGCAAUUUUUCAUAAAAAUGCAACAAUCCGAAAUUUAUUAUAAGCUGAAUAAUUUUAAAGCAAGAUGAAAUAUUUAAGUUAUAAAAAAAAAAUUGCCUUGCAUGUCCUCCAUAAUAAAUUGUAAUCCAGUUAGGUCGAGGAGGGACGCCAUACACUUGCUGGCACUGCUCGAUAACUUCAGUUAAAUUGAAAAGAUUAACUGGCCGUAACAUUGUUUUUUCGUCUACGGACAUGGGACCACCAUUUCGGAGCCUGACUAUUUAUGUACACACAUUNNNNNNNNNNNNNNNNNNNNNNNNNNNNNNNNNNNNNNNNNNNNNNNNNNNNNNNNNNNNNNNNNNNNNNNNNNNNNNNNNNNNNNNNNNNNNNNNNNNNUGAGUAUUUUUUCAAGUAAUAUUAUAAAAAAUUUCGGCAGAAAUACUUUGGUCUUUCUUCCAAAAUGAUUUUAUCAUUUGGGUUGCCGAUAAUUUUUUUGGUUAAUACUUUGUUUCAUCCUGCCGUUUCUCUCCCGCUAUCUCUCAGUCUUAAUAAUUUAAAAAAUUAAAAAAUUAGUAGAAACACAUCUUUCUCUCUACGCUACCUUCUUGACAUUUAACAUUUUCCAACUCAAAUAGUUUUUUUAACUCCCUACUUUUCUAGAAUUUAAAUUAUCAGUGACUAGUGAAAGAAAGAUUUAUGAAAAAUAGUCAGUCAAGCAAGGAGACAGGUAGAAUUAAUGUAUAUUGAAUUACCUGCCAUGGCCAUCCCUCAUCGGUUUCAGUUCUAUUCUUGGGUUUAUUGAUAUAGCAUGGGCGAUCUCCUUUUUGGGCAAAAACACCAGCAGCUAUCUUGCAAAGAAUAUCGUUUCCACAAGCUGUUGCUUUGUCGACGGCACUACAGACUUUUCAAUUGGAUUUUCCGGUGGACGUCCGUAUUGAGAUGUUGAAGUAUACAUCCCAGCCAAGGCAUCCCUGAGCUCAUUUUCGUUUCUCGGGGGACUAACACAACAAAAGAUGGCAUCGUAUUAAAACUUUAAGCCAGUAUAAUUGUAAAGUGUUUAGAAAAUACUUGCGUAGGAUUGUACAUGCAAAAUUAUUUUUGUUGAAAAACUUAUGUUACCUGCAUUAAUUACCAGUCAUAUUUACCAAAUACUUUCUAUGUUUUACAAUAAAGUCAAAACACCAGAGUACAGAAUAGAGCAAACGAAUCCAAGAAAUGAGAACAAGGAGUACUUUAUUAUUACGUGCGAGUUUCGAAUUGCUUGCUGAGGAUUAAAGCAACGUCAGGUAAUUCACCAACUCUCUGGAUUUCUGCCCACGACUCCAGGAUGGUUUGAUUUUGAUAGCAAGUUUCGCUAGUGUCCUGCACAAAAAUCCACAUAACUCCUUCUACAUGUAAAUGAAAAAAAAUAAUAAUAUGCGUUUGAUUAAUUACUCGGUAAUUCUUAGUGACAGUAGAAUAAUAUGCGUUGUGUGGUGUGAUGUCCUCAUAAUAAAGUACUGGAGCAGAGGAGGCCAAAGCUCCCAGGGCUAUAUGGGGAUAUUUUAGCCGAAACCAUGUAGCAAGUUCUGGACCAAAAUUAUAAAAAAAAAAUGUUUCUAAUUAAUGUCAAUGUUUAUAAAGAACAAAUCAAAAAAUGCACCAUCCGUGAAUAAAAGAGAGAAAUACUUGUGUGGCACCUCAGUAUACGGUACAGCAAGUGGACCCUGCAAAUCUUUUUACUUUUUAUUUGGUGGGUUUCACAAAAUAAAAAAUGGAUGGUCCGACUACUGGACCCACUAUCGACGACUACUCGGUUAUCUGUUAUUUGGUUGAAUCAAAUUGGCUAAGCACAGCAGCUCAGCAAGUUUAGGUUGUAUGCUAGGCUCACACAAGUUUUUCAGAUGGAUCUUGUGGCGGCAGCAAAUGUGAAGCAACCGGUUUGGUGUUGUGGGAUUCACUAAAUUUUAUAUAAAAACUUGUGAUUCAUCGGACACACCACGUUAGCAUCAGUUGGUAACCAUGUCCAAAAUGAGCAUUUUCAUUUGGUGGGUUUCACAAAAUUAAAAUGGAUACCCACUAUGGACCACUACUCUGUUAUUUGACAGAACCUAAUUGAUCAAGCAUACUACCUCUGCGAUUUAGGUCUAUACUCAACCCACACAAUUGACACAAAUUGGCUCUUAUUUCAUUCAUUACCUGCAGGUAUGAAAAAUAUUGCAAAGGGUUGUAAGACCAUUUGUUUGGCCUGCAACUCUGUCAAUUUCGGACCAGGACUGUUUUAUUGUGUUGUAACAACUCUCACUAACAUCCUGCAUCAACCAAACAAGUAUGAGUUUAAUAAAAAUAAAUACAUAAAAACUACUCUUAAAUGAUUCAAAAUGUUUGUGACCAAUUGAAAACCGAAAUUCGAUUCCUAUUAUGAGAUGCAUUCCGAAAUCUAAAAAUUACAGAAUUGACUUGUUGGUUUUGUUACAAAAUUUGGUUAACUUGUUUUAAUUUCUUACUCUGAAAUCGUUGGUGACAACAACAUGGUAUCCGUUUUGUGGUGUGAGGUCAUCAAAGUAAAGGAUUGGUGCCGAUGAUGCCAAGGCUCCGAUAGCAAUAUGAGGGUAUUUCAGCCGUAACCAUGAUGCAAGCACUGGAAUUUAUGCCCAAAAUAAUAAUAAUAAUAAUAUAAACAAUAUGAAAACUUUAAACAAAUUAAUUAUGCUGGAAGUAUCUUUGUAUUGUGUGUUACUUACUUCCACCAUAAGAUCCACCUAUAGCAAUAGCGGGACAAUUUUCAGCUGACAGGUUCCUUUUAACAUCUGUGAUCAGCUGUGCACAAUCUCCCAAAGCUUGUGUUGAGCUUAGAAAUCCAAGAGUAUUUGCAUCUCGGAACGCUUCACCAAAGGAUCCAAAGGGCAUUGAGUCUCCAUAGUAACGAUGCUGUAUACGGUACCAAGUUAUUUAAUCAUUAUCCAUUUGCCACCAAGUCAAGUCUCCAGGACAAAGCUAUUUUUAUUUUGGGGUUUUUCAAGGUAUCAAAAUCCAGAAAAGUACGCAGAUUUGAUAUGUUAUUAGCAUUGACCAAGCGGAGACACAUUUUGAUGACUCUGAUGUAUAGUUUAUAUUAAUAAUUAAAUUAAGCCACGUCUAAUAUACUUCGGCUCUAAUGUUACAGAACAUUAGUUUCUAUUACAUUUCCGAAUUUUAUUAUACGUUUCAAUUAAUUUUGUAACAUCACCACCAUUCAGGAGCUUACGUAUGUUGUGACCUGGGGAAUGCGACCUCCAGGCCGGAAAAAGUUCAGAGAAAACUAGGAUCCUAAUGGUGUGUUUGUCACACUACAUUAUAUGAGACUAGCUAAUGCAAUGCAAUUCUAUAUUUGAUAAAUUUUCUUAUUCACAUUAAAAUACACCAUAAUGUGAAUAGUUCGCUUUAAACAAACUUAAUGGGAGUUGGAUUUGUGCAAUACGUCACCGUUCAUAUUAGCGUUGUUUAUAUCUUUAAUUAAAAUAAUAAAUAAAUAAUAUAUAUAAUAUUAAAUAAAAUGUUAUUCUAUGUAAUACAGUCGUAUUGCAUUACUGCUAAAUACAAUAUAAUACAAUACAACCAAUGCAAUACAAUAUAGGGUGUGUUUGGUUGUAGUAUUAAGAGGGUAUUAAAUUACUAUUUACAUUAAGUUAAUACCAAACCCAUGUUUGGGAAAACAUCACAAGGGAUUGGGGUGGGAGGCUAAUGCGUCAACUGACGCAUUAGGUAAUCCCGACUGUGAGUUGGGAAAAGCUAAUGUGUCAGUUGACGCAUUAGCCUUGUUUUUUUUUUUUUUUUUCUUUUGCUUUUAACUUUUGCUUUUUGCUUUAUUAUUAUUAUAAUACUAAAAUAAUAAAUAAAUAUAGUUUUUAAUUUAAUAUAAUAUUUUUAUUUUAUUUGUUUUUACAUUAUAAUUAUUAAUAUAAAUUAAUAAAUAAAUAAUUUAUCAUUCAAUAAUAGUAUAUUUUUUUUAUUUUUACAUUAUAAUUUAUUAAUAAAUUUAUAACUUAUUAUAACUAAUAAAAAUAUUUAAAUUUAAAUACAUUUGAAUAAUAUUAAUUUAAAAUUAAUAAUAAUAUAAAUAAUAACAUAAAAUAUUAAUGCAAUUUAAAUAUAUUAAUAUAAUAUAAAACAUUAAUAUAAUAUAAUAUUUAAUUUAAAUUAUUUAAAAAAAUAAUACAGUACAGUGUAACACCAAACAUUAUACAACAUUAUUAUAAUACAGUACUAAUACAAUACAUCAUAAUACAAUACACCAGCAUUAAAAUAAUGCAAUACAACAUAAUACAAUACAGUGUGCCAAACGCACCCAUAGUGUAUCAAAUGCACCCUAACUGAAAUUUAACAUAUUUAUUUUAAACUCUUUUUCUUUUGGUCCCUUUAAAUUACGGAUAGUUAACUCUAGCCUCCCCAUGUUUGCAGUUUCCCCAUCAUGACCCUUUACGAACCAAAAUCCAAGCUAAUAAGCUAUGAAAACUUGCAUAUACUUACCUCAAUAUACAACAGCAUGGCUUUAAAACGCGAAGCAAGAUCAACAAUGAACCCCUUGCCGUGGACGCCGAAGGUCAGCGGAGCCUCCUCGCCGAUGUAGACAAUGAUGGGCGAGCUAGUACUUGCCCCUCCCCAGUACUUGAAGUUCUUGAUGUAUUUUUGCUGAAAGGUAGCAUAACUCUCAGGCUUGUAAUUAAAAUGAUCCAAGGUCUGCGUGUAAUAAUAUGUAACAAAUUCUGGAGGGAGGUGCGAGUUGGACUUGCUUGUCAUACGUCUCCUCAUAGUAUCAAAUCUUGUGGAGCUGCCGGGAUAUGUUGCAGAUAUGCAUAUUGUUGUGAACAAAAGUAAUAGUGAAAGAAAUUGAAAUAAGAAUUGAAGUGCCAUUUUGAGCAAUAUUGGAGCUUGAGCUGACUCGAUUUAAAGAUAUUUAUAUUGGCCUACUCAGCAGUUUCUAAAUAUUAUGCCAUUGAUUCGAUAUCCUGUAUAUAUUCUUCAUUCUUGAUGACAGCGUUAUUUACCAAGUGAGGAUUGACAUUUUUGGACGCUAGUCUUUAGUAUUACUAUUGCGCAAUGUCUUUUUGCUUUUAUACCAUCCAGCAUUUACAGCUAUCAUAAUAUCAUGUUAUUGAGUAUUUUGUUAAAAAAAAGGGUAUUUUAGUUUUAAAAAAUAGAGUUGGACUAUUGGCACAUUUCCAAAUAUCUCUUGAAAUCCUUGUUUGUUUUCUACCCCAUUAAAUUAUUUAAAAAUUAUAAAAUUCUUAUGACACCCAUUUUAACCUCAAAAUGACCUUAAUUUCUUAAUGAAUAAAUCUCAAAAAAGUUUUCAGCUCUUCUCUCUCUUCAUAUCUCAUUUUUUCUCUUGCAAUUUGAGCUCGCUCCCUCGUCAACUCUCGAUGAACAAAUUGAAAUUUGCAACUUGGUAUACUCUUGAUUUUCCCUUCCCCCCCCCCCCCCCCCCCCUUUUAUAGUAAGCUUGGAAAUGAAAGUAAAGCUUCGUUAUUCGCCAUAACAAUAAAAUGAAAUUAAGAAAUUAAAGUAAGAAUGUUGCUGGAUUUUAAGCAUUUUUUGCUGCCACUAUCUAUUUCUCCCAAAUCAACGCCGACUGAUAGCCAGCAAAAUGAAAGAAUUUCUUUAUUUUUUUUCCCCAAUUGUUUAUUUUUUAUAUUCUAUUUUCAGAUAAAUAAGAAAGUUUUGGAAUCAUAAAGAGGUUCUAUAAUAAUUGGGGAACCUAUAAACUUGCAGAUUUUCAAUUGUCAAAUAAGGGAGUUUGAAACGAUGAAGGAGUUUAAUAAAAAUCAACUUGUUCUCUUAUGUAAUUUUAUAUAAUGGUCUAAUAGGAUACUAUAGGUAAGGGUUUUAAUAAGAAAUUAGAGGCGUACCAAUAGCGGAUAGCACCACUCAAAAAAGUAUUUUUUCAAAAAAAAUGGUUUGGAAGAGUAUUUAGAUGGGUUCGAUUAUCAUCAUCCUAAAUCUAAACGGAUCUUCGAUGUAACCCAUGGAGGAGUUGGCAACUAAUAAUCGGCCUAUUGUUGUGGCUGUCUAUUUGUCCCAAUUAAUUUAAUUAAUUGGAUACAUGAAAAAUUGUGCGGGAAAUUAAUUGUACAACGACUUCAACAGCGAUACAGCCACUGUAUUAUAAGCGGACUCAUACAUAUAUGGUAACAGAUGAUUAUUAUUUCUCAAAUGAUAGAGACUGCGGGGGUCAUAAAUUAUUUCCUUUGACAGCAGUUUCAAUUAUUUGAUUGCUUUGAGAUCAGCAUAGUACUUAGAUAUCCAUCCUUCAAUGAUCUCUAUUUCAGUCUCACGUUGCGUGACCAGCCAAUCGGGAUCACUGCUUUGGUUGGCUCGAAGAAUAUCCAAGCAAUGAGAGCCUGCAAAAUAAUUAAUAUUAAUUUUCUCUCAGUAACGACUCACCCGCCCCAGUAUUUUAAGGGCAUACGCCUGUAACUAGUGAAACAUUUUUAUUUUUUGUAGCCUUUAGUCUAUUCUACUUAAAUUGUGUAAAUUUAAAAAUAAUUUUUAAAAACUUAAUUACCAUUUCCUGCAUAAAUAUGAAUGUUGAUUGAGUUAUAGAUCACUUACCAUUGAUGGUAGCAAUGGCGACGACACUAUCUGAUAUGUUCUCCAAUACCCUAAAAAGUAAAAAAAAAAAAAGUUAGUAUCAAGAGAGCUAGUCAUAAUUCAUAACUAAUUUUUAUAUAUAAUUACAGGAAGAAAUUUAAUUUCUUUAUAAGCUAAUUAUUAGUAUUUUAAAAUUGGUUACCCGCCACUGCUGUAAGGAUCUCUGAGUCCAUUGGAGAAAAUAAUGUUGCUAGCAAAUCUUUGGAGAAUCAGUUUUAUAUCCUGCAAUAAUUUUUGAAAUAGGAUUAUAAUAUAUUGUUACCUAUCACAUAAAUGUUCCAAAAUUAGAAGAUAAAUAAUUUGAAAACAAGAAGUCAUUAAUUAGUCUUCAAAUUGCCUUGAACUGUUCAAAAUAAAUAGACACCCCCUGUUUUGGUGAAAUGAUCACAGUCAAGAACUCUCUAAUUUUAGAUUUGAUCAUCACAUGCACUAUUUUUUUUUAAUAAUAACUUACAUAGCCUCCAUAGUAAGUAGUGACCCAAUGUGGCCGAGGGGAGACGCCAUACAAGCUCUCGCACCUGUCAAUGAAGCUGCUCAGAUUGAAAGGAGUAGGUUGGAACAUUGUAGUAUUGACAGUGCCAAUGGGUAUCACCAUCUCGCUGCAUCUCUGAUAUUUAAAUACACACUGGUCAAUAUUCGCAUUAAUUAUGAUCAACAAUUAAUUAGGAUACGUUUAAGUUUCUUAUAAGAAAAAAAAAAAAAAAUACAACAGUAAAAAAGGUGAUCUCAAAUAAUUAUUUUAUUUUUUAAUACACCCAUUAAAGUGAGAACCCAAGACCUAAACUUCAGUAAAGAGGCUCCUUAAUUAUCACGGAAGCUAGACCUAUACGCUUCAUCACAAAUUAUCAACUUGUGCAUGAAAUUAUAGAUUUACUUUUUGACUUUCAAGCUAUUCACAACAGGGGCAAGCUAUUCACAACAGGGGCAAACUAAACGAGAUAUUAAAAAUUUGUCAAAAAUUCAAGUAAAUAAAAGCAAAGGAAAGUGCCAUUCUCCAUUUUGAAAAUUCAAAGGCAUGUAUCAUGAGUCCUCGUGGCAGAAAAUAUUGUUUGACUGACUCUAUGGUGUUUCGUUCUUGUUAAUGUCAAUUCUUGUUAUUCCACAAUUUAAUAAUUAAUAACAGAAUUUAACGUUGUCACGCGGUGGCCGGUCAUUAUCAUUGCCAUUUUUUAUGCCCAUCCAAUUAUACAAAAAUAACAAUAAUAAUAAUAAUAAUAAUAAUAAUAAAAUCAAUAAAUAGUACAUAGGUAAGAAUUAAUAUUGAAGGUGACAUGUAAUGAGAAUUAAUGUAAUUAAAUUACCUGCCAUCUCCAUCCUACGGUGGUUUCAGUUUCAUUAGUGGGUGGAUUAACAUAGCAUGACAUAUUUCCUUUGUAAGCAACAACACCUGCAAAUAUUUUGCUUAUAAUAUCAUUUCCAAAAGCUGCCCCAUCAAUGCCGCCACAGACCAUGCUUACUGGAUAAUCUGGAGGAUGAUUAUAUUGAGCUGCAUGAGCAUACAUUAAUCUCAAGUAGCCCUUGAGCUCAUAAGAAUCUCCCAAAGGCCUAAUACAAAGAAAUCAAAUAUGAAACUUUGUUAAUCUAUUUUGAUCGGGAUGCUGAAAAACCAAAAGAAGAUAAUAUUUUAAUUACCUGCAAGUUCUGAAUUUAUUGCUGAGGAUUGCCAGACCGUCAGGCUGAGAAGCAACUUCAUCAAUUUGUGACCAUGAAUUUAGAAUUGUUUCGUAGCAAGUUUCACUUGCUUCCUGCAAACGCCGCUUAAUGAUUAAUUAAAUACUUAACAGAGAAGAAUAUAUAGAAUAAAAAUUUGAUUUAUUACUCUAAAAUCCUUGGUGACAACAGAAUAAUAUCCAUUCUGUGGAGUGAUGUCAUCAAAAUACAGGAUUGGGGCUGAAGAGGCCAAGGCUCCAAGGGCAACAUGGGGAUAUUUUAGCCUAAACCAAGCAGCAAGCACUGGCCGUACGUAUAUGCCAUGACCGGGAAAAAAAAAACAAUUAAUCAUUUUUGACGUCAUAUUUCUCAAAGAACAUAAAAUAUAUCAAAUGCAUAUAUAUGUGCAUGGUCAAAUUACUUCCUCCAUAUGAUCCUCCGAUGACGAUCACCGGAGAAUUUGUAGCAUUAUAUUUUUGCUUUAUAUACAGGAGGAUCUCUGCAUAGUCUGCUAAUGCUUGAGCAGAGUUGAAAUAGCCAAGAGUACUUGCAUUUUUCAAAGCUUCUUCUCUUGAUCCAAAUGGAAUUGAUUUCCCAUAGUAUCUAUGCUGGAGAUGAAUAAAUUAACUGUAUUAUAUAAGAAACAAUUCAUGAAUUCGAGAAUAUCAAUUUAAAACUAUAUAUAUAUUUUCAUACCUCAAUAUAUACAAGGAGAGCCUUGAAUUGUGGGGCGUUAUCGGUUAAGAAACCGAUGACAGAUGGAGCAUUAUCCAAGGGAGAUUCAGCUCCAAGAUAUGCAAAGAUUGGAGCAUUAGAUGAUCAGCNNNNNNNNNNNNNNNNNNNNNNNNNNNNNNNNNNNNNNNNNNNNNNNNNNNNNNNNNNNNNNNNNNNNNNNNNNNNNNNNNNNNNNNNNNNNNNNNNNNNNNNNNNNNNNNNNNNNNNNNNNNNNNNNNNNNNNNNNNNNNNNNNNNNNNNNNNNNNNNNNNNNNNNNNNNNNNNNNNNNNNNNNNNNNNNNNNNNNNNNNNNNNNNNNNNNNNNNNNNNNNNNNNNNNNNNNNNNNNNNNNNNNNNNNNNNNNNNNNNNNNNNNNNNNNNNNNNNNNNNNNNNNNNNNNNNNNNNNNNNNNNNNNNNNNNNNNNNNNNNNNNNNNNNNNNNNNNNNNNNNNNNNNNNNNNNNNNNNNNNNNNNNNNNNNNNNNNNNNNNNNNNNNNNNNNNNNNNNNNNNNNNNNNNNNNNNNNNNNNNNNNNNNNNNNNNNNNNNNNNNNNNNNNNNNNNNNNNNNNNNNNNNNNNNNNNNNNNNNNNNNNNNNNNNNNNNNNNNNNNNNNNNNNNNNNNNNNNNNNNNNNNNNNNNNNNNNNNNNNNNNNNNNNNNNNNNNNNNNNNNNNNNNNNNNNNNNNNNNNNNNNNNNNNNNNNNNNNNNNNNNNNNNNNNNNNNNNNNNNNNNNNNNNNNNNNNNNNNNNNNNNNNNNNNNNNNNNNNNNNNNNNNNNNNNNNNNNNNNNNNNNNNNNNNNNNNNNNNNNNNNNNNNNNNNNNNNNNNNNNNNNNNNNNNNNNNNNNNNNNNNNNNNNNNNNNNNNNNNNNNNNNNNNNNNNNNNNNNNNNNNNNNNNNNNNNNNNNNNNNNNNNNNNNNNNNNNNNNNNNNNNNNNNNNNNNNNNNNNNNNNNNNNNNNNNNNNNNNNNNNNNNNNNNNNNNNNNNNNNNNNNNNNNNNNNNNNNNNNNNNNNNNNNNNNNNNNNNNNNNNNNNNNNNNNNNNNNNNNNNNNNNNNNNNNNNNNNNNNNNGAUCGUUUGUUGAAAAGUUGAGUAGCUUUCAGGCCUGUAGUUAAAGUGAUCGAGUGUCUGAUUGUAGUAAAAUGUUUGGAAGUCUUCCGAAAUUGUUGCUGAUGACAGAAUUUCGAAGUUUUGCAGAAUUGUUUCCCUGAUUGGACUAAGUCUUGGAAUGUCAAAGCUUGUUGCCGUAACAUAGAAUGAGGACAUAAUUGUGAAGAAAUAUAGAAGCCACAAUUGAAAUGACAAAGUUGAAGAAUGCAUGGCAAUGAACUCUCAAUCUCAACAGAGAAUAUGUUUUGGACCUAAUUCGUGUGCUGCACUUUCUAAGAUGAUGUCGCGAACAUCCUUUUAUAUAACAGGGACUCUUAGUUUAUUUUAUAUUAUUAAAUAUUAAUGUAUACAUGAAAAAGAAAACUCUUAUUGGAGGGAUAAAGUUUAUUUGAUAAAAAGAUUAUUAAACAAGUAUAAAAUAAUUGAAAAACAAAUAUAAAAAAAGUAUGAUUAUCUUACAUAAUCAAUGAAUAAAAACUUAAAAUACAUACUGCAUAUGACUCCAAUAAAAAAUGUAAUUAAGCGGAAAAAAAUAAAAUGUCUUUCUCAAAUAACCCAAAAAAAAAAAAAGUAAAAUAGGCUCCAACGAUCCAACAUUUCUAUACUUGUCCUACAAGGUCCAGUUAUCACAUGGAAAUAGCUUUUUGGCAGCAUUUGAAAUUGUGAAGCUUCAAUGCAUAUACCAAUCCAUUAUAGGCCCUAUUGUUUCUAAAAAUAGUAUGUAUAUGCCAUAAUUUUCUUUGCUUUAUGCUACUAAUUAUUCUGCAUACUGUAGUCCUUCUAUCUAGCUAAUAUGGGAUUCCCAUAUGCUUUUGUUGACUUAGAAAAAGAAAUUAAUUUGUAUGCUAUUAUUUUGAGAUAGCGAAAAGAUUGCAACAAGUGGUUCCUUUCACUCCUUAUCUUCUUAACUGACUUGUUACAAAUAUCUGGCCAAACUUAUGAGUUAAGCAUCUGGAUGCAACAAGCCGAAGUUUGUUGAAGGUACUAACAAAAAUGAGUGGCAGGGAUAGAAAAUAAAAAAACAAUUCAUCGUCUUUUACAGCGAUCCAUCCCACGAUUCCGAAUCAACAGAUUGAGUGGGCAACUCUUGAAUCAACUAAUAUUAAAAAAAUACUAAAAACUAACACAAAUAUCUUUUUUGGAAGAAAUCGAGCUGUACUUCGGUUUCUCUUUUGUAUUGCUUUUUCUUUAUACGGGUUUUCAUGUCCGAUCCCAUAUAAUUUUCUUCACCAUCUUUUUUAUUUUCGAAUUCAGAAGAUAAAUCAAUUGGUUCAAAACAUUACAAAAGGCAAUGUUUACAUACUUUUUUCAUUUUUUUUAAAUUCUAUAGUAGAAAUUCAAAACACAAUUAACUCAUUUUUGAGUCCGGGGGAUUCAGAUUAUUUCAACCUUUUAUUAUUUAUUUGUUGUACAAAAAAAAAAACUUUUUGAAUUCCCAGUAGCAAGGGAUUUCGCUAACGAAAAAGCCUUCAACGCUGCCCCAGGGAUUUUAAUUCAAUGUUGAGCUGAACUUUUUAUUAAUGUUUAAAAAAGAUACAAUUAGUAGUUAUUGAAUAAAAAUAUAAAAUUACUUAAAUUUUAAUAGUAUAUUGUUAUACAUAUACGUGUGACAAAAGAUUAUGAAAAGUUGUGCAUAGAUAACAUUGGAAUCUAAUUCCUUAUUUUAAAUCAACUUCUUUCACAUUUUUAGUCUUCACCAAUACAUUACACCGUUGUUAUUUGUGUUUUUUUAAUGAGAAGUCGUGUUAAACGAAAAAUUAAUUUUUCUAAGUCAAGCUUUUCCUAAGUCGUAUGAACAAAUCACAUUCAUAAAGACCGGUACUUUGGAAGUUAGUAACUGUACACUUCGUAGAAGAAAUCACAAUAUUUGACUUUUCUUUCUGCUUUUAUAUAAUUUGAUCCAAGAAUUCCAAUUCAAAAGAGAGAAAUAUGAGAAGCGAAGAAGUUACAGAAAUGUCUAGAAUUACAAGCUAAAUUACAGAAGCAAAUUAAUGAGUUUAUACAUUGAUGCCUCACAAUCCUUUUUAGUCAUUCCUCGGUGGCCGGCUAGCCGCUCUAGAUUUUAGCUUCUGAUGUAUUUUUCAAGGAAUCUAUAGGCCAAUAUUGGACGUAGUCAUGCAAACAUUUUAUUAAAAGAUCUAUAUAAUAAUGUGAAGAUCGAUUGAACUAGAUAAGGGUAAUUAUAUUACACUUUGGUCCUUUGGGUUUGAACUAAUAUUUCGUUGUUCAAUUGGUCAGUAUGAUGUAAAGAAUUGCCUAAAAUAUGUAUAUUUCCUUACUUCCACAGUUCAAAUCAUUUUUCUCUUACGACAUAUAUGUUGAUCUUUGCAUGAAUUUUCAAAUUAACAAUGAACUUAAAUCAUUUAUUUAUUAUUUCCUUUUGUUUUGACUUUUGAGUACAAUUUCUUUUAUUGGACUGCUUUAAGAUCAUCAUAGUACUUAGAUAUCCAUCCUUCAAUGAUCUCUACUUCAGCCUUGCGCUGCAUGACCAACCAAUCUGGAUCACUGUCUUGGUUUGCUCUAAGAAUAUCCAGGCAGUGAGAACCUGCAAAUUAUAUAAUGAUUUUGUAUCAGUAACAAAUCGAUAUAUAUUUAUGUACAUAAUUUUGAAUAUAUAUGUAAAUAUUAUUUCAAAUAUGCGUCACCUACCAUUGACCGUGUGAAUGGCAAUCACGCUUUCUGAUAUGUCCUCCAAUACCCUGCGAUAUAUAUAGCAUGCUUUAUUAUUAGCCAUAAUUUAUAUAUAUACAUAUAUAAUUACGGUAAGUUUGUUUAGUCCUUAUAUUUUGAUAUUAUUAACCGUUUAAUCCUUAUAUUUUUCAAAAGUACCUCAAAACAUCGAUGCAGUUAAAUUAUUGAACCCUCUGUCAUUACUUUUUAUUUCUUUUGGCUAACUUUUAUAAUAUUAUACUCUUGCAAUAAUGUUUUUUUUGGACAUUAAUAAAAAGAAAAAACUAAAGUGCCACUUUAAUUUAAAAAUAAAAUAGAAACAAAAAGAAUCUAUAUUAAUUUUUGUAGAAUACUCUGUUGAGGAGCUAAUAUUUUAAUUUUUUAUUAAUGCCCAAAUAAGGUAAUUUCAUUUCUUUUACAAUAUUAAAUUUUUUUGGAGCUUUCACAAAAAUUAAUACAAAUUCUUUUUGUUUUAUUUUAUUUUUGCUCUAAAUUGAUAAUUUAAUUUUUUUUAUUAAUGUCUAAAUAAAAAGAAACAUUAUUGUAAGAGGGUAAUAUUGUAAAAAAAAAGCUAAAAUGAAUAAAAAGUAAUGACAUGGAUGUCAAUAAUUUAAUGACAAGAAUAUUUCGAGAUAUUUUUAAAAAUACAAGUACUAAAUGGAAUCUAAACUCAAAAUAUAGGAACUAAAUAAACUUUUACCUAAGUUAAUUAUCCUUUAGUGAGGACUUCCUCUCUUUAAAAGUGAGAAUGCCACAAACAAAUUAAAAAAAAAAAAAAAACACAUACGUACAAACAUAUAAACAUAUGACACCUGUUUAAAAUAAAAUAAUUUAUAUGUUAAUUACCCGCCACUGCUGUAAGGAUCUCUAAGCCCAUUGGAGAAAAUAAUGUUGCUAGCAAAUCUUUGUAGAAUCAAUUUAAUAUCCUGCAUUUAUUAUUGGAAAUGCCUUGUAAAUGUCCCGAAAUAAAAAAUAUAUACUUAAUUUACAAGUAAAUUAAUACAACAAUUGCUUUAAAAACAGUUCAUAUAAGACCCUUACAUAGCCUCCAUAAUAAGUAGUGACCCAGUGCGGCCGAGGAGAAACGCCAUACAAUUUCUUGCAGUCGUCGAUGUAGUUGCUUAGCUCAAAAGGAUCAGGUGGGAACAUUGUAGUAUUGUCAAUGCCUAUGGGCAUCACCAUCUCGCUACAUGUCUAAUUAAAAUUAAAAAACACACCACUCAUUAUAAUGUUGUCAUAUGUUACGAUCAAAAUUUGGCACGUGGUUAAGUUUCUAUCAUACAUGCAAAUGGAUAUAUAAUGACUUCAUUUUCUUCAUCGAUCAAAAGGGUGUGUGAACAUACUUAAAUAUUGUUUGACCUUCAAGUAUACCUGUUCUUGUUCUUGAAGUUAUCACUAACGCUUGACUAUAAUUUAAUAAUGACAAAAAUGAACCAUAAUAAUCAUUAUAUUGGAGGUUGAAUUUUCUUCUAAAUUAAAAGAAUGUAAGAAUAUUGUGAUGUUU